rnacentral:lncRNA from 1 species
GGCAACAAACAAUUCGCUGCAGUUUGUAUUAACAAUGACAGCAGCCACUUAUCCUACUAAAAGUAGUGCAGCUCCAGCGUUAUAUAUACAACCAAUAGAAUUACCUAACACACAGGAGGUAGUUAAAAAGACCGCACGCAUCCAACUGUACAUAUUUUUUUUACAGCCAACUGCAAUUACCAAUUGCUAAAAUCACCAGAGGUAACAAUUGCGCAACAGAUUAAGGACGGUUACUGCAAUCAGCGCUGAAACAGCAACAGGUAUUUAGAUCGCUUAAAUCGUGGCAUUGAUAACAAAUGAAAACUAACAAAUAAAAAAACA